rnacentral:rRNA from 1 species
GCCGUAUUAAGGCGAAACCGCGAAUGGCUCAUUAAAUCAGUUAUGGUUCCUUGGAUCGUACCUUACUACUUGGAUAACUGUGGCAAUUCUAGAGCUAAUACAUGCAGCAGAGCUCCGACCUUCGGGGACGAGCGCUUUUAUUAGACCAAAACCAAUCGGACCUCGUGUCCGUACGAUGUGGUGACUCUGUAUAACUUUGGGCUGAUCGCACGGGCCCGUCCCGGCGACGUAUCUUUCAAGUGUCUGCCUUAUCAACUGUCGAUGGUAGGUUACUCGCCUACCAUGGUCGUAACGGGUGACGGGGAAUCAGGGUUCGAUUCCGGAGAGGGAGCCUGAGAAACGGCUACCACAUCCAAGGAAGGCAGCAGGCGCGCAAAUUACCCACUCCCGGAACGGGGAGGUAGUGACGAAAAAUAACAAUACGGGACUCUUUUGAGACCCCGUAAUUGGAAUGAGUACACUCUAAAUCCUUUAACGAGGAUCCAUUGGAGGGCAAGUCUGGUGCCAGCAGCUGCGGUAAUUCCAGCUCCAAUAGCGUAUAUUAAAGUUGUUGCGGUUAAAAAGCUCGUAGUUGGAUCUCAGUUCCAGACGGGUGGUCCGCCUACCGGUGGUUACUGCCUGUUCUGAACAGCCAGCCGGUUUCUCUUGAUGAUCUUCACCGGUUGUCUUGGGUGACCGGCAAGUUUACUUUGAAAAAAUUAGAGUGCUCAAAGCAGGCGUGACGCCUGAAUAAUGGUGCAUGGAAUAAUGGAAUAGGACCUCGGUUCUAUUUUGUUGGUUUUCGGAACACGAGGUAAUGAUUAAGAGGGACAGACGGGGGCAUUCGUAUUGCGACGCUAGAGGUGAAAUUCUUGGACCGUCGCAAGACGAACUACUGCGAAAGCAUUUGCCAAGAAUGUUUCCAUUAAUCAAGAACGAAAGUUAGAGGUUCGAAGGCGAUCAGAUACCGCCCUAGUUCUAACCAUAAACGAUGCCA